CACCUAUAAGUGGGAAUACGUAAUGGGAAGACUGCAGUGACGUACGUUUCUCGCCGUGGCUGGCGUCUAGUCUAGUGCCACACUCCGCCGCUACAGGAUGAAAACUUGAAAGAGGAAAACGCUUAAGAGUUGCAGCGCCUUUAAUGCUUUGAGGGCGUCUCAGAUACACCCUGCGGACUAUUCUUCAAGAUUUUACAAUGGAAGACUAUGAUGCUGGCUGGGAUGAGCUUAACGAGCAGUUUACUCCCUCUGCUUCUUUUGAAAACCGACGACUUAGAUCCCCUACACACAGACGUCCGCCAAGGCCGCCCAGUCAACGCGGUAAGAGCACUGGGUUGAACCGUCAGCCGGGAACAGGUCCCAGACCGUUUAGUCAACGCGGUAAGAGACCCGAGUUGAACCGGCAGCCGGGAACAGGUCCCAGACCGUUUAGUCAACACGACAAGAGACCCGAGUUGAACCGGCAGCCGGGAACAGGUCCCAGACCGUUUAGUCAACACGACAAGAGACCCGAGUUGAACCGGCAGCCGGGAACAGGUCCCAGACCGUUUAGUCAACACGACAAGAGACCCGAGUUGAACCGCAGCCGGGAACAGGUCCCAGACCGUUUAGUCAACACGACAAGAGACCCGAGUUGAACCGGCAGCCGGGAACAGGUCCCAGACCGUUUAGUCAACACGACAAGAGACCCGAG